rnacentral:rRNA from 1 species
GCAUGCGGGUGGUUCAUUAAGGCAGAUGUGAAAGACCGGGGGCGGCCUCGGAACUGCAUUUGAAACUGGUGAACUAGAGUACUGUAGAGGGGGGUAGAAUUUCAGGUGUAGCGGUGAAAUGCGUAGAGAUCUGAAGGAAUACCAGUGGCCAAUGCGGCCCCCUGGACAGAUACUGACGCUCAGAUGCGAAAGCGUGGGGAGCAAACAGGAUUAGAUACCCUGGUAGUCCACGCCGUAAACGAUGUCUACUUGGAGGUUGUGGCCUUGAGCCGUGGCUUUCGGAGCUAACGCGUUAAGUAGACCGCCUGGGGAGUACGGUCGCAAGAUUAAAACUCAAAUGAAUUGACGGGGGCCCGCACAAGCGGUGGAGCAUGUGGUUUAUUACGAUGCAACGCGAAGAACCUUACCUACUCUUGACAUCCAGAGAAGCCUGCGGAGACCCACGUGUGCCUUCGGGAGCUCUGAGACAGGUGCUGCAUGGUUGUCGUCAGCUC